CCUACGGGUGGCAGCAGUGAGGAAUAUUGGUCAAUGGGCGAGAGCCUGAACCAGCCAAGUCGCGUGAAGGAUGAAGGAUCUAUGGUUUGUAAACUUCUUUUAUAUGGGAAUAAAGUGAGGAACGUGUUCCUUUUUGUAUGUACCAUAUGAAUAAGCAUCGGCUAACUCCGUGCCAGCAGCCGCGGUAAUACGGAGGAUGCGAGCGUUAUCCGGAUUUAUUGGGUUUAAAGGGUGCGUAGGUGGUUAAUUAAGUCAGCGGUGAAAGUUUGUGGCUCAACCAUAAAAUUGCCGUUGAAACUGGUAGUCUUGAGUACAGUUGAGGUAGGCGGAAUUCGUGGUGUAGCGGUGAAAUGCUUAGAUAUCACGAAGAACUCCGAUUGCGAAGGCAGCUUACUAAACUGCCACUGACAUUGAUGCUCGAAAGUGUGGGUAUCAAACAGGAUUAGAUACCCCUGUAGUC
rnacentral:rRNA from 1 species